GCGUGGAUGGGGUAGUGGUAACCUCAGUCGUUGCCAUUGGACUGCCGAAAGCACGACAACAACGAUUCGACUGGCCCCGGGUUCGAUUCCCGGUCCACGCA